rnacentral:rRNA from 1 species
AUUGAACGCUGGCGGCAGGCCUAACACAUGCAAGUCGAACGAGUGGCGGAAGGGUGAGUAAUGUCUGGGAAACUGCCUGAUGGAGGGGGAUAACUACUGGAAAAGGUAGCUAAUACCGAUUACGAUCAGAAGUGCCCAGAUGGGUUUAGCUUGUUGGUGGGGUAACGGCGCACCAUGGGGACGAUGCCUAGCUGGUCUGAGAGGAUGACCCGCCACACUGGAACUGAUACACGGUCCAGACUCCUACGGGAGGCAGCAGUGGGGAAUAUUUCACAAUGGGCGCAAGCCUGAUGCAGCCAUGCCGCGUGUAUGAAGAAGGCCUUCGGGUUGGAAAGUACUUUCAGCGGGGAGGCGUUACCCGCAGAAGAAGCACCGGCUAACUCCGUGCCAGCAGCCGCGGUAAUAC